CAAAUGUUAUCGAUAAACAAUUGGAGGGCAAGUCUGGUGCCAGCAGCCGCGGUAAUUCCAGCUCCAAUAGCGUAUAUUAACGUUGUUGCAGUUAAAAAGCUCGUAGUUGAAUUGAAGUGAACUUGGGUUGAUGUGAUCUUCGGAUGACAUGAAUCAAAGUUGACUCUUUCCAAAGUCAAUACAUUGGUAUUCAUUUAUCUUUGUAUUGUGUUUGGUCAUUUACUGUGAGAAAAUUAGAGUGUUCAAAGCAGACGUUUGUUUGAAUACAUUAGCAUGGAAUAAUCAUAUAUGGCUUUCAUGUUGAUUUGAUUGGUUUGAAUAUGGAAGCAAGAUUAAAAGGGACAGUUGGGGGUAUUCAUAUUCAAUAGUCAGAGGUGAAAUUCUGGGAUUUAUGGAAGAUGAACAAGUGCGAAAGCAUUUACCAAGGAUGUUUUCAUUAAUCAAGAACGAAAGUUAGGGGAUCGAAGAGGAU
rnacentral:rRNA from 1 species